AAACUUGAGAGUUUGAUCAUGGCUCAGAACGUACGCUGGCGGCACGCCUAACACAUGCAAGUCGAACGAAGUAGCAAUACUUAGUGGCAGACGGGUGAGUAACAUGUGGGUAUCUGCCCUUUGGCCUGGAAUAACACGAGGAAACUUGUGCUAAUACUGGAUAAGUCUUUACGGAGAAAGCUUUAUGCACCAUUGGAUGAGCCCGCACUUGAUUAGUUUGUUGGUGGGGUAAUGGCCUACCAAGACUUUGAUCAAUAGCUGAUUUGAGAGGAUGAUCAGCCACAUUGGGACUGAGACACGGCCCAAACUCCUACGGGAGGCAGCAGUGGGGAAUCUUGCACAAUGGAGGAAACUCUGAUGCAGCGAUGCCGCGUGAGUGAAGAAGGCCCUUGGGUUGUAAAGCUCUUUCGUCGGGGAAGAAAAUGACUGUACCCGAAUAAGAAGGUCCGGCUAACUUCGUGCCAGCAGCCGCGGUAAUACGAAGGGACCUAGCGUAGUUCGGAAUUACUGGGCUUAAAGAGUUCGUAGGUGGUUGAAAAAGUUGGUGGUGAAAUCCCAGAGCUUAACUCUGGAACUGCCAUCAAAACUUUUCAGCUAGAGUUUGAUAGAGGAAAGCAGAAUUUCUAGUGUAGAGGUGAAAUUCGUAGAUAUUAGAAAGAAUACCAAUUGCGAAGGCAGCUUUCUGGAUCAUUACUGACGCUGAGGAACGAAAGCAUGGGUAGCGAAGAGGAUUAGAUACCCUCGUAGUCCAUGCCGUAAAAGAUGUGUGUUAGACGUUGGAAAUUUAUUUUCAGUGUCGCAGCGAAAGCGAUAAACACACCGCCUGGGGAGUACGACCGCAAGGUUAAAACUCAAAUGAAUUGACGGGGACCCGCACAAGUAGUGGAGCAUGUGGUUUAAUUCGAAGAUACGCGCAGAACCUUACCAACACUUGACAUGUUCGUCGCAACUUUAAGAGAUUAAAGUUUUCGGUUCGGCCGGACGAAACACAGGUGCUGCAUGGCUGUCGUCAGCUCGUGUCGUGAGAUGUUGGGUUAAGUCCCGCAACGAGCGCAACCCUCACUUUUAGUUGCCAUCAUUAAGUUGGGCACUCUGAAAGAACUGCCAGUGAUAAGCUGGAGGAAGGUGGGGAUGACGUCAAGUCCUCAUGGCCCUUACGUGUUGGGCUACACACGUGCUACAAUGGUAUCUACAACAGGAAGCGAAACAGCGAUGUUAAGCAAAUCCUUAAAAGAUACCUCAGUUCGGAUUGCACUCUGCAACUCGAGUGCAUGAAGCUGGAAUUACUAGUAAUCGUGGAUCAGCGUGCCACGGUGAAUGCGUUCCCGGGUCUUGUACACACCGCCCGUCACACCAUGGGAGUUGGUUCUACCUUAAGGCAAGGUUUAAUACCCUUGACCACGGUAUAGUCAGCGACUGGGGUGAAGUCGUAACAAGGUAGCCGUAGGGGAACCUGCGGCUGGAUUACCUCCUUU
rnacentral:rRNA from 1 species